rnacentral:rRNA from 1 species
GUGAGGAAUAUUGGUCAAUGGGCGGGAGCCUGAACCAGCCAAGUCGCGUGAAGGAAGAAGGAUCUAUGGUUCGUAAACUUCUUUUGCAGGGGAAUAAAGUGCAGGACGUGUCCUGUUUUGUAUGUACCCUGAGAAUAAGGAUCGGCUAACUCCGUGCCAGCAGCCGCGGUAAUACGGAGGAUCCGAGCGUUAUCCGGAUUUAUUGGGUUUAAAGGGUGCGUAGGUGGUUUGAUAAGUCAGCGGUGAAAGUUUGCAGCUUAACUGUAAAAAUGCCGUUGAAACUGUCGGACUUGAGUGUAAAUGAGGUAGGCGGAAUGCGUGGUGUAGCGGUGAAAUGCAUAGAUAUCACGCAGAACUCCGAUUGCGAAGGCAGCUUUCCGGGGUACAUCUGACGCUGAAGCUCGAAAGUGCGGGAAUCAAACAGGAUUAGAAACCCCAGUAGUCC